GAUGAACGCUGGCGGCGUGCCUAAUACAUGCAAGUCGAGCGAACGGACGAGAAGCUUGCUUCUCUGAUGUUAGCGGCGGACGGGUGAGUAACACGUGGAUAACCUACCUAUAAGACUGGGAUAACUUCGGGAAACCGGAGCUAAUACCGGAUAAUAUUUUGAACCGCAUGGUUCAAAAGUGAAAGACGGUCUUGCUGUCACUUAUAGAUGGAUCCGCGCUGCAUUAGCUAGUUGGUAAGGUAACGGCUUACCAAGGCAACGAUGCAUAGCCGACCUGAGAGGGUGAUCGGCCACACUGGAACUGAGACACGGUCCAGACUCCUACGGGAGGCAGCAGUAGGGAAUCUUCCGCAAUGGGCGAAAGCCUGACGGAGCAACGCCGCGUGAGUGAUGAAGGUCUUCGGAGCGUAAAACUCUGUUAUUAGGGAAGAACAUAUGUGUAAGUAACUGUGCACAUCUUGACGGUACCUAAUCAGAAAGCCACGGCUAACUACGU
rnacentral:rRNA from 1 species